UACGGAGGGCGCGAGCGUUAAUCGGAAUUACUGGGCGUAAAGCGCGCGUAGGCUGUUGUGUAAGUUGGGGGUGAAAUCCCACGGCUCAACCGUGGAACAGCCCUUGAUACUGCGCGACUUGAAUCCGGGAGAGGGUGGCGGAAUUCCAGGUGUAGGAGUGAGAUCCGUAGAUAUCUGGAGGAACAUCAGUGGCGAAGGCGGCCACCUGGACCGGUAUUGACGCUGAGGCGCAAAAGCGUGGGGAGCAAACAGG
rnacentral:rRNA from 1 species